ACUUAGUGGCGGACGGGUGAGUAACGCGUGGGUAACCUGCCCUGUACAGGGGGACAACAGCUGGAAACGGCUGCUAAUACCGCAUAAGCCCUUAGCACUGCAUGGUGCAUAGGGAAAAGGAGCAAUCCGGUACAGGAUGGACCCGCGUCUGAUUAGCCAGUUGGCAGGGUAACGGCCUACCAAAGCGACGAUCAGUAGCCGAUCUGAGAGGAUGUACGGCCACAUUGGGACUGAGACACGGCCCAGACUCCUACGGGAGGCAGCAGUGGGGAAUAUUGCACAAUGGAGGAAACUCUGAUGCAGCGACGCCGCGUGAGUGAAGAAGUAUUUCGGUAUGUAAAGCUCUAUCAGCCAGGGAAGAAAAUGACGGUACCUGACUAAGAAGCACCGGCUAAAUACGUGCCAGCAGCCGCGGUAAUACGUAUGGUGCAAGCGUUAUCCGGAUUUACUGGGUGUAAAGGGAGCGUAGGUGGCAAGGCCAAGCCAGAAGUGAAAACCCCGGGGCUCAACCCGCGGGAUUGCUUUUGGAACUGUCAUGCUAGAGUCCAGGAGGGGUGACCGGAAUUCCUAGUGUAGCCGGUGAAAU
rnacentral:rRNA from 1 species